rnacentral:rRNA from 1 species
AAAUUGAAGAGUUUGAUCAUGGCUCAGAUUGAACGCUGGCGGCAGGCCUAACACAUGCAAGUCGAGCGGAAACGAGUUGUCAGAACCUUCGGGGAACGAUAACGGCGUCGAGCGGCGGACGGGUGAGUAAUGCCUAGGAAAUUGCCCUGAUGUGGGGGAUAACCAUUGGAAACGAUGGCUAAUACCGCAUGAUGCCUACGGGCCAAAGAGGGGGACCUUCGGGCCUCUCGC